rnacentral:rRNA from 1 species
CGGCAACAGCUCAAAUUUGAAAUCUGGCUUCGGCCCGAGUUGUAAUUUGUAGAGGAUGCUUUUGGCGCGGCCCCUUCUGAGUUCCCUGGAACGGGACGCCAUAGAGGGUGAGAACCCCGUACGUGGUCGGCAGCCGACGCCAUGUGAACGUCCUUCGAC